AUUGAACGCUGGCGGCAGGCCUAACACAUGCAAGUCGAACGGUAACAGGAAGAAGCUUGCUUCUUUGCUGACGAGUGGCGGACGGGUGAGUAAUGUCUGGGAAACUGCCUGUUGGAGGGGGAUAACUACUGGAAACGGUAGCUAAUACCGCAUAACGUCGCAAGACCAAAAAGGGGGACCUUCGGGCCUCUUGCCAUCGGAUGUGCCCAGAUGGGAUUAGCUAGUAGGUGGGGUAACGGCUCACCUAGGCGACGAUCCCUAGCUGGUCUGAGAGGAUGACCAGCCACACUGGAACUGAGACACGGUCCAGACUCCUACGGGAGGCAGCAGUGGGGAAUAUUGCACAAUGGGCGCAAGCCUGAUGCAGCCAUGCCGCGUGUAUGAAGAAGGCCUUCGGGUUGUAAAGUACUUUCAGCGGGGAGGAAGGGAGUAAAGUUAAUACCGUUGCUCAUUGACGUUACCCGCAGAAGAAGCACCGGCUAACUCCGUG
rnacentral:rRNA from 1 species